GUGAAGGAAAAGUAGAAAUCCCACCAAGCUCCACACUACAGCAGACAUUGAACAUCUGCUACCUACAUUGCAAUGGAAAGAGGUUGGUUUCCUGUAUUUGUUCCUCAUCCCCAUUUUCUAUCUUCUUUUUAUCUCUAAGACAGUCCAGACCAGUUUCGAACCAUGAAUGCAGCCAAACUCCUAGACUCGAGUGUUUUACUGCUAAGUUAAAGAAAAAAAAAAC
rnacentral:misc_RNA from 1 species